rnacentral:tRNA from 1 species
GCUUGCGUAUCUAAGUUUAAGGGCUGGAUUCUUAUUUCAGUAAUGUGUAAUUGACACCGUGGGCU